rnacentral:rRNA from 1 species
GACGAACGCUGGCGGCGUGCCUAAUACAUGCAAGUCGAACGCAGUGGGGACGGGUGAGUAACACGUGGGUAACCUCCCAUCAGAGGGGAUAACACUUGGAAACAGGUGCUAAACCGAUACUGAUGGAUGGACCCGCGGUGCAUUAGCUAGUUGGUGAGGUAACGGCUAACCAAGGCCACGACGCAUAGCGGACCGGAGAGGGGGAACGGCCAACCUGGGACGGAGACAGGGCCCAGACCCUUACGGAGGGCAGCAGGAGGGAAUCUUCGGCAAUGGACGAAAGUCUGACCGAGCAACGCCGCGUGAGGGAAGAAGGUUUGCGGAUCGUAAAACUCUGUUGUUAGAGAAGCGGUAUCGAACAAGAAAGCCACGGCUAACUACGGGCCAGCAGCCGGGGUAAUU